rnacentral:tRNA from 1 species
GUGUGUAGCUCAAUUGGUUAGAGCGCAGGACCGAUAAUCCUGAGGUUGCAGGUUCAAUCCCUGCCAUACUCAA